rnacentral:lncRNA from 1 species
GAGACUUGUAAAAUUUGCAGCAAGCUUUAGUGACUUGAAUGCACUCAGUGUGUAAAAGUGGACAGAAAUUGCAAGUAGUGAAAUGGCUCAAGAAUAACUAUAUUGCAUUUAUAGAAUCUUAAAUGUAUUUAUAGUCACUUCUAAGAAAUCCUUUUUUGAGAUUGAAGUAAAAUAAAGAAUACUACUUUAUAGUGUCUUAAAGCAAUGUCCUCUUCAAAGGAUGAUGAAGAAUAUAUUUGCCAGUUUGAUUUUCCUUUCUUUUUAAAUCUUAUAUCAAAAAUAAGUCUAGCCUGUUCUCAAUAUAGAUCACAAUACUCAAAUAGCACAAGACAAGUGUUUCCUUCUAGUACAAACUAUUGUAUAUUAAUAAAUAUAAAUGCUAGGUGAAUACCUUUUUCUGGAAAGUAAGACUUUUCCAAAGAAAUAUAUGUUUGUUACUCUUCUAAUCAAGAGGAGUUUUAAAUUUUACAAUAGCCAAUAGAAACAGCAUUAAAUAUGAUGCUGUAAAGAAUAUAAGAAUUUCCAAGGAUAUUCUCUCUAUAUAUAAAGUAUUUACUAUUUGGUAGAAUAAAGCAUCCAUAUUACUGAACAGAAUAUUAUCUACCAAAGUUAUGGAGAAUUAAAGAAAGAAUGUUAAAAUGGUAUGAUUUUAUUUUCUUUUAAGUGUAUGACAAAGUGCUGGAGAAAUUAGAGCAUGACACAACACAAUAAGUGGGUUUCUGGAUUUUUCCCCUUUAUUACCCUCUAAAUGUAUUCCAAGUUGUAGCAUAAUCCUUAGUAGGAAAGGAGAACUAUUGAUAGGGAUGUUUAAGUAAGGAAAGGCAGGUACAGCUGACUCAGUCACAAAUAAUGUGUAGAGGUAGGACUUGAGUGUGCUUGUGUGCCAUGGAGAAUGCUGGAUGUGGGAUUAAUUCAACCUUGAAAGGCAACAAUUACUUUUUCUACACAGUACCUUGUUAUUCACAGAGUUUAUAAAGUUCACUGUUGUAGGAUCUCCUUAACAGGUGGUAUAUGUUUGAUAUACCAUCAGGAUCAUCAUUUACUGAUUAACCUAGUUUUUUAUGUGAAUAAACUUUCUGGUUGAUAAAGAUCAAUGAUCAUUUUCUCAGCUAUCUAAUCCUCCUGACAAAUCAUCCAGGAGAAACUUGGAAUUGACACAUAUAUGUUAGAAAAGUUGAGAGGAUUAAAUAGCAAUAAAUCUGCCUAAAACCC